GACGGAGGGUGCUAGCGUUGUUCGGAAUGACUGGGCGUAAAGGGCGCGUAGGCGGCCGCUUGCGUCGGAUGUGAAAGCCCGGGGCUCAACCCCCGGAACGGCAUCCGAUACGGGGCGGCUCGAGACCGAGAGAGGUGAGUGGAAUACCCAGUGUAGAGGUGAAAUUCGUAGAUAUUGGGUGGAACACCGGUGGCGAAAGCGGCUACACUGGCUCGGUUCUGACGCUGAGGCACGAAGGUCAGGGGAGCAAACGGGG
rnacentral:rRNA from 1 species